rnacentral:rRNA from 1 species
GGCGUGCUUAACACAUGCAAGUCGAACGAAGCACUUUACCACGAUUCCUUCGGGAUAACGGUUUAGUGACUGAGUGGCGGACGGGUGAGUAACGCGUGGGGAACCUGCCCCAUACCGGGGGAUAACAGCCGGAAACGGCUGCUAAUACCGCAUAAGCGCACAGUACCGCAUGGUACGGUGUGAAAAACUCCGGUGGUAUGGGAUGGACCCGCGUCUGAUUAGCCAGUUGGCGGGGUAACGGCCCACCAAAGCGACGAUCAGUAGCCGGCCUGAGAGGGCGACCGGCCACAUUGGGACUGAGACACGGCCCAGACUCCUACGGGAGGCAGCAGUGGGGAAUAUUGCACAAUGGGGGAAACCCUGAUGCAGCGACGCCGCGUGAGUGAGGAAGUAUUUCGGUAUGUAAAGCUCUAUCAGCAGGGAAGAAGAAAUGACGGUACCUGACUAAGAAGCCCCGGCUAACUACGUGCCAGCAGCCGCGGUAAUACGUAGGGGGCAAGCGUUAUCCGGAUUUACUGGGUGUAAAGGGAGCGCAGGCGGCAUGAUAAGUCUGAUGUGAAAACCCAAGGCUCAACCAUGGGACUGCAUUGGAAACUGUCGUGCUGGAGUGUCGGAGAGGUAAGCGGAAUUCCUAGUGUAGCGGUGAAAUGCGUAGAUAUUAGGAGGAACACCAGUGGCGAAGGCGGCUUACUGGACGAUGACUGACGCUGAGGCUCGAAAGCGUGGGGAGCAAACAGAAUUAGAUACCCUGGUAGUCCACGCCGUAAACG